rnacentral:rRNA from 1 species
GAGUUUGAUCCUGGCUCAGGAUGAACGCUAGCUACAGGCUUAACACAUGCAAGUCGAGGGGCAUCAGGAAGAAAGCUUGCUUUCUUUGCUGGCGACCGGCGCACGGGUGAGUAACACGUAUCCAACCUGCCCUUUACUCGGGGAUAGCCUUUCGAAAGAAAGAUUAAUACCCGAUAGCAUAAUGAUUCCGCAUGGUUUCAUUAUUAAAGGAUUCCGGUAAAGGAUGGGGAUGCGUUCCAUUAGGUUGUUGGUGAGGUAACGGCCCACCAAGCCUUCGAUGGAUAGGGGUUCUGAGAGGAAGGUCCCCCACAUUGGAACUGAGACACGGUCCAAACUCCUACGGGAGGCAGCAGUGAGGAAUAUUGGUCAAUGGGCGCUAGCCUGAACCAGCCAAGUAGCGUGAAGGAUGAAGGCUCUAUGGGUCGUAAACUUCUUUUAUAUAAGAAUAAAGUGCAGUAUGUAUACUGUUUUGUAUGUAUUAUAUGAAUAAGGAUCGGCUAACUCCGUGCCAGCAGCCGCGGUAAUACGGAGGAUCCGAGCGUUAUCCGGAUUUAUUGGGUUUAAAGGGAGCGUAGGUGGACUGGUAAGUCAGUUGUGAAAGUUUGCGGCUCAACCGUAAAAUUGCAGUUGAUACUGUCAGUCUUGAGUACAGUAGAGGUGGGCGGAAUUCGUGGUGUAGCGGUGAAAUGCUUAGAUAUCACGAAGAACUCCGAUUGCGAAGGCAGCUCACUGGACUGCAACUGACACUGAUGCUCGAAAGUGUGGGUAUCAAACAGGAUUAGAUACCCUGGUAGUCCACACAGUAAACGAUGAAUACUCGCUGUUUGCGAUAUACAGUAAGCGGCCAAGCGAAAGCAUUAAGUAUUCCACCUGGGGAGUACGCCGGCAACGGUGAAACUCAAAGGAAUUGACGGGGGCCCGCACAAGCGGAGGAACAUGUGGUUUAAUUCGAUGAUACGCGAGGAACCUUACCCGGGCUUAAAUUGCAGUGGAAUGAUGUGGAAACAUGUCAGUGAGCAAUCACCGCUGUGAAGGUGCUGCAUGGUUGUCGUCAGCUCGUGCCGUGAGGUGUCGGCUUAAGUGCCAUAACGAGCGCAACCCUUAUCUUCAGUUACUAACAGGUUAUGCUGAGGACUCUGGAGAGACUGCCGUCGUAAGAUGUGAGGAAGGUGGGGAUGACGUCAAAUCAGCACGGCCCUUACGUCCGGGGCUACACACGUGUUACAAUGGGGGGUACAGAAGGCAGCUAGCGGGUGACCGUAUGCUAAUCCCAAAAUCCUCUCUCAGUUCGGAUCGAAGUCUGCAACCCGACUUCGUGAAGCUGGAUUCGCUAGUAAUCGCGCAUCAGCCACGGCGCGGUGAAUACGUUCCCGGGCCUUGUACACACCGCCCGUCAAGCCAUGGGAGCCGGGGGUACCUGAAGUACGUAACCGCAAGGAUCGUCCUAGGGUAAAACUGGUGACUGGGGCUAAGUCGUAACAAGGUAGCCGUACCGGAAGGUGCGGCUGGAACACC